rnacentral:lncRNA from 1 species
CCCUCUGCUCAUGGAGAUGCUGGGCGACACGAGCCAGCUGCAGAGGCUCACGCAAGGGUCGUGAUUGAUCAAACCUUUUGGGCAUUGAUCUACCUUAGUAGUGUAGUGUUACCAGAGGCAGCUGGUUGGGUGAAUGGCUUUGACCAUAAUAAUACGCGCUAUACUGUUAAUUAACUUUGUUGUUAGGUGGAAAUGGAAUGCAGGCAUGCCUGGCUACAGACCGUGGAAAAGACCUCUACUAGUAGUAGUGUGGAUGGAGUUUCCUUUGUGAUGGGUGUUAAUAGACAGAUUGCAAAAUGAAUCCAAUCAGUCAGAAUUUCAUUGAUGAUCAAUCCUUAUAUACAACGAGAGGGGGCGCGAGUGAAGGGACGCGUCCACUCGAUAGGGAGCGAGGAAACCGUCGUGACGCUUGCCGGAUUGGCAACGCACAUUCAGUUAUACAAGGGAGGAUUAUCUCAUUAAUUACAAUAUUAAUUAAAUCCUAACGCUCCCCCUAAUCCUCUCUUGUCGUUCUGACUGAUCAUCCUUGAAAUAAUCUCCUCCAAAAAUCCUGUAGGAAAAAAAUGAGAAGAUAUGCCUAAUAUGUCAUGAAAAACUCCUUCCGAAAACCCAGUGGAAAAAUAAGGAGAAAACGACAUAUCACAAUGCUUGUAUUACUAUUGCCUCAUUAAAAACCUUUCAUGAGAAACCAUCCAGGAAAACCUACCUGGGCCAUCCUGGAAAACCUACCUGGGGAAGCUGUGCAUGAGCCUGUCCAGCGCGCUGUUCGCGUUUCUCAUGUUGGACACCCACAAGUACAGGUCUGCUCAAUAUCGUCCCCGCUCUUCCCCGUGCUGGUAAGCAAUGCGGCAUCCUUGCGCUCAUCUAUCCGUCCUCAACGUGUUCUUUUUUUGGGUAAAGAAAAAGCAUAGCUGAUCGGCAUCGUAUAAUGUGUAUACGUUUUUGUUCGUCAGCUGUGCUGGGCGCUUGGGUACAUGGUGGCUCAGCUCUUCUUCGGCGUGGUGGAGACGUCGGUGGAGACGAUAAUCUCGUCCUUCUGCCAGGACGCUGAGGAGCACGACUGGGAGGCGCAGUACGCUCCCCCUCUGCUCAUGGAGACGCUGGGCGACACGAGCCAGCUGCAGAGGCUCACGCAGGGGCCGUGAUUGAUCAAACCUUUUGGGCAUUGAUCUACCUUAGUAGUGUAGUGUUACAAGAGGCAGCUGGUUAGGUGAAUGGCUUUGACCAUAAUAAUACGCGUUAUACUGUUAAUUAACUUUGUUGUUAGGUGGAAAUGGAAUGCAGGCAUGCCUGGCUACGGACCGUGGAAAAGACCUUUACUAGUAGUAGUGUGGAUGGAAUUUCCUUUGUGAUGGGUGUUAAUAGACAGAUUGCAAAAUGAAUCCAAUCAGUUAGAAUUUCAUUGAUG